rnacentral:rRNA from 1 species
AUUGAACGCUGGCGGCAUGCCUUACACAUGCAAGUCGAACGGCAGCACGGGUGCUUGCACCUGGUGGCGAGUGGCGAACGGGUGAGUAAUACAUCGGAACAUGUCCUGUAGUGGGGGAUAGCCCGGCGAAAGCCGGAUUAAUACCGCAUACGAUCUACGGCUGAAAGCGGGGGCCCUUCGGGCCUCGCGCUAUAGGGUUGGCCGAUGGCUGAUUAGCUAGUUGGUGGGGUAAAGGCCUACCAAGGCGACGAUCAGUAGCUGGUCUGAGAGGACGACCAGCCACACUGGGACUGAGACACGGCCCAGACUCCUACGGGAGGCAGCAGUGGGGAAUUUUGGACAAUGGGCGAAAGCCUGAUCCAGCAAUGCCGCGUGUGUGAAGAAGGCCUUCGGGUUGUAAAGCACUUUUGUCCGGAAAGAAAUCCUUGGCCCUAAUACGGUCGGGGGAUGACGGUACCGGAAGAAUAAGCACCGGCUAACUACGUG